AAUUCUCAACUUCAAAAGUUUUUAUUAACUUAUUGGAGCUUGGAUUAUGGGAGCUUGCUGGCGUCUUAGAUGUUCGGCUCUCCUUAAAUUUAUUAGUGGAAAUCUCUUUGUUGGAGUUAGUCCCUGGUGUGAUAAUUAUCUACUCCUUGGAUGGUCCAAUGUUUCCAUUGAGAUUGUUCAGUGAAUGCCUUCUGGUGUUUUCUGGUUUUGUAGUAUUGCAACUAGUUGCUCUACUUGAAUCUCAGAGGAAGAAGGGAAGCUCUGCUCUCUAACUGUCUGUGUAUUAUGGACAACUUAUUGACU
rnacentral:misc_RNA from 1 species